AUUGAACGCUGGCGGCAUGCCUUACACAUGCAAGUCGAACGGCAGCGCGGGAGCAAUCCUGGUGGCGAGUGGCGAACGGGUGAGUAAUAUAUCGGAACGUGCCCAGUCGUGGGGGAUAACGCAGCGAAAGCUGUGCUAAUACCGCAUACGAUCUACGGAUGAAAGCGGGGGAUCGCAAGACCUCGCGCGAUUGGAGCGGCCGAUAUCAGAUUAGCUAGUUGGUGAGGUAAAGGCUCACCAAGGCGACGAUCUGUAGCUGGUCUGAGAGGACGACCAGCCACACUGGAACUGAGACACGGUCCAGACUCCUACGGGAGGCAGCAGUGGGGAAUUUUGGACAAUGGGCGAAAGCCUGAUCCAGCAAUGCCGCGUGCAGGAAGAAGGCCUUCGGGUUGUAAACUGCUUUUGUACGGAGCGAAAAGGUCUCCUCUAAUACAGGGGGCUCAUGACGGUACCGUAAGAAUAAGCACCGGCUAACUACGUGCCAGCAGCCGCGGUAA
rnacentral:rRNA from 1 species